CUGGGUCUUGCCUUUCUGAUAUCCCAGCCCUGAAUAGUACCCUUUGCUUCCUUAGGACUGCCUGGACCCCCUCCCAACCUGGGGAAAGGCUACAGCCCCUCCAAUGGACCAGGAACAGCCUUUGGAGGAGAUGUUAAACCUCAAAAGCCAGGCUUUCCAGCUCCAAAUGGCUAUGGACCAGGCUUUGGAGGGGUAGUGAUGCCCCAGAAAUCAGGUGAGAACCCUCUCCAUGCUGUUCCUCUCUGCCUGAUGUCCCC